ensembl:snRNA U6 U6 spliceosomal RNA
GUGCUUGCUUCUGCAGCACAUACACUAAGGUUUGAAUGAUACAGAGAAGAUGAGCAUGGCCCCUGCACAAGGAUGACAUGCAAAUCUGUGACGCAUUCCAUAUUUUU